rnacentral:lncRNA from 1 species
AUGCUACAUGCUGAGACUACAAAGAUGAGUUAGAAUACAUUCCUGUCUCUCAAAAGCUCACCUUCACGUGGAGGAGAGACUUAGGCAAGCCCAUGAUUUCAGUUCCAUGUGGUCGAGUGAAGCCCAGUGAGACAGUGGAGGAGAGGGGUCAUGCCACUGCAGUUCCUCGCUAUGCCAUUCAUACAGAGCAUUCUCCAUGCUCAGGAGUCCAGGAGUCCAGUGGGCCCAUGAUGCCCAGGAGCUCGUCGAGACUCAGGGAGGUGCGGAAGACCUACUUAAAACCUGAGAGUCUCGAAUAGGAGAGGCGCUUUCAGAUCAGCCCGAGUCUUCUGCAGCGCACAGGAGCUAGUCGUACUGAAAAGAAUGAAGUUGGACUUGUCCAGGCGAGUUUCGGACAGUGCUGGGCUGCCCUGCUCUGAUCUCCUGGGUGUCUUCACCUCCUCUGGUUCCUAAGUCGGCUGCUGCACCAGCACCCAUCAAACUCUCCUGGAAGAGGAAGUGACAGCUCACCGGUAGCCUAGAAGGCCCCUGUGGGCAGAAGCAUGGACUUACUCCUCCUCAUGGAGAUGCGGCUGAGCCAUAUUUCCUUGGCACCUCUCUGGAACCUUCGACAACCACCACCUCAGACACUAACCAGACUUUAGGUCCAUUCCUUUCAUGGCUAAAAUGAGACAGUCCACAAUGUUGAUUUUAUUUGUAGGGGAUGUCAGGAUUCCAGAAAAGCAGACUUGGAAAGCAACAAAACGUUAACUUGCAGCUCACUGAGGCCCUUACACUUGUUCUGGGCACCUCUGUAUGUUAAAAGAAGUCCAAUAUCUUUAGCUGCUGGUUAUAGGUGGCCAUAUGUUUCUGCACAGAAAUGGGGCUCCCCUUGCUAGACUAAUUUUCUAAUUUUUCCUCAAGCUUCAUUGAUUCAUAUUCUUCUACUUGACCCUGACUGUCAGGACCAACAACACCAAAUAACACCAAA